UAAGUAAGUUUUGAAAUUAACAAAUAUUUAAUGGAAUCAAAAAUAUAGAAUACCAUUUGAUUCCAAGGUUCUGUUGGCACUAUAUGAUAAAUUGAUAUAUAACCUAUUGGGAUUACAAAAUAUUUUUUGCAUCUUUUUGCAUACCCCAUACACAUUUUUUCAAAAGUUCAUCAUGAACUCGCAAAUGUCGAAUCAACAAGUUUUCGAUGUUUGGCAUUACUUAAAGAGCAGGAUAUUUUUAAUGACGACUCUGAUGGCUCUGAUUUGGAAUAAAUAAUGUAAAUUAAAUGUUUAUGUACUUACCUACUAUUGUAUUAUUCUGUAACAAAUAUUAAAUUAAUAAAAAAUAAAAAUAUAUUUUUUGACCAGCUAUAAAUUUUUUUCAGUGUAGUAAGGCCCGAGUAUUUUUAAAUACGGGUUUAUUCUAAUGGGUUUGCCCUAAAAAAUCUCCUGACCAUAACUUUCAAUUUUUCCUUGGGGCAAUCUUAUCAUAUUUAUUCUUACUGUUACAUGGGAGGUGGGCGUGUCAGUUGUCCAAACUUGUCUAACAUCUGUAGAAUGUUUCUGGACUUUACUCAUACAACUCUGUUGCAUGCUGAUAUUUCCCUAAUGAUGAAUCCAAUUUAAAGUCAAAAGUUAUACAUCUGGAAGCGUGCUCUAGCUUAUCCUCCGGCGUUUUUAGCAGCAUUUGGAAGGGUUACGGGUAGAAGAGGGUUGCCUAAAUGCCUUAUGUCCGAUAAUGGCACAAAUUUUCUCGGCGCCAGUAGAUCGUUGCGAAAGAAAUCUCUCUUGUUUUUACGAAAAUCAGCAGAAGAUAUAGACAUAUUUCCCCAAUGUCCGAGGAUCCUGAAGAUUUGCAACCCCUAACUCCUGGUCACUUUUUAAGAGGAGCUCCAUUGAUGUUCACUCCUGAACUUUCUUCAGACAAUUUAUCGAUAACAAACCGAUGGGAGCGGCUCAAGGACUUUCAUCAUCGUCUUAGUCAACGUUGGAAGACUGAAUAUCUUCAUGAACUUCACAAGCGUUACAAAUGGAAAAAUCCACAGCGGAUGAGCUCCUACCUCCAAAUGAGUGGCAAAUGGGACGAGUUGAAUUAUACUGGAAAAGAUAAACGCGUUCGCGUAGCUGACGUCCGGAACCGUUACCAGACCAAUAGUCAAACUUUGCAUGCUUCCGAUUUGUGAUAAGUCAUUAGAUUGACUAGGAUUGUAUGUUCUAUGGAUCAGUUCCCAGAGUCUGAAAUGUGCCUGAUCUGUUUCCGCCUAAUGCAGGCAGUUUAUGAAUAUGACGGUAAAACAAAGACAAUAUGUCGUUCGGG